rnacentral:rRNA from 1 species
AUUGAACGCUGGCGGCAGGCCUAACACAUGCAAGUCGAACGAGUGGCGGACGGAUGAGUAAUGUCUGGGAAACUGCCUGAUGGCGGGGGAUAACUACUGGAAACGGUAGCUAAUACCGCAUACCAUCAGAUGUGCCCAGAUGGGAUUAGCUAGUUGGUGGGGUAACGGCUCACCAUGGCGACGAUCCCUAGCUGGGCUGAGAGGAUGACCAGCAACACGGGAACUGAGACACGGUCCAGACUCCUACGGGAGGCAGCAGUGGGGAAUAUUGCAAAAUGGGCGCAAGCCUGAUGCAGCCAUGCCGCGUGUAGGAAGAAGGCCUUCGGGUUUUAAGGUACUUUCAGCGGGGAGGCGUUACCCGCAGAAGAAGCACCGGCUAACUCCGUGCCAGCAGCCGCGGUAAUAC